UCUAAAUUUUCAUUUCCCUACCCAAAAAUCAUUUCCCUCCUACCGAAAUCAAUAUGAAUUUUUAUUUCCCUCCUACAAGAUUCAUUUCCCCCAAUCAAUUCAAAUGAAAGACCCAAGCUUCCUUUUACAUACUCAACCUUUGAACCGCAACCCUAAUCCCUAACAAUCAAGGAUGAUGAUGGUGGUUAUGACAGUGGUUCUGGUUGUAAUGUUACAGCGACUAAUGUUUAGAUCGAAGGUGAUGGUGUCGUGAAGGAGGGUGUGCGGGAGAGGUGGUUGUUGACGGUGGGUAAGAGCUGUGGAGGUUUUCGUCAACUUCCUCUAUUCCAUUCGGGAUUCGCCUUUGCCUGAGACAAGGGGCGUAUGCCUUUCUGAAGAGCUGACCGUUGCAACUGUACGCCUUUUAAAAACUUAAUAGUUGAUAGAAUGAUACUUGUUAUUUGUUACUUCGCUUUUACGUAUUAAUUAGAUUAUAUUUGUAUAAUUUUAUUGCCUUUCUGAAGAGCUGACCAAGAAUCGAUGGCAGUUGGUUUGUUGGAAUGAGAACUCUGCAUCACAAGCUUACAUGUAGAUGUGAAGUUACCGCCAUUCUUGUUCUAUAUGUCUUCCAAGGUUGCCGCUAAUUGGAUCCAUUCUUGCUCAUGAGCUGAUGCAUGGUUGGUUAUGAUAUAACGGUAACUAAAAAAGUUUCUAUUUUUCUUUCAAGAAAUUAAAAAAAGACUUGAAUCGUGAAAUUUCACAUUUUCCAUAUUAACUCUUCUUAAUGUUCAUGACCUGAUGCAUGGCUGGUUACGCCACAUUGCUCGCGAAAUCAAAAGUGAAAGUGAAAAUCAUGCAUAAAAUAGAAUCGGAAAUGAAGUUGAAAGCUUUGAGGUGAAUUUAAGCAAGACGCCUUGUAGUUCUAGUGAAUGCAGGCACACUUACUUUGAGCUGCUGAAGUUAAAAAGCCAUUGAGUGGAUAAUGUCGUAUCUUGAUGGUCACUAUGUUGUUGGACUGAAUCAAACCACAACAGCACCGGUUCCAACAAAGGUAACCAAGCUUAAUCCAUCUUCUUUAUUAGUUGUCGAUGAGACAUCGAAUCAGACAAACCCCAAAGGUGCAGUUGUAGAUGCUACUUAUAACUAUAAUGCUUCAUCUUUCGUAACAAACUCUAGUACAAAUGAUGAAAACAAAGGAGAUGCAUCAGACACAUCUUUUUGUAAGAAGGAUAUUCGUCCAAAGGCGAACAAGUUGCCGGUAGGACCACGCAUGGUGAGAAAUCGGGAUUUUCCAAGAUGCACUUACGAUGAAAAUUUACCAAUCACAAAGAACUUUAACGCAAUAGGAAGUUGAUAAAAAAUGUUGAAGGCAUGCCAUGCUCUAUUAUCUGAUCAUAGUUUUUGCAUCACUAUCAAGUCAAAAAGGAGUGAGUUCAUAGACAUGAAGAAAACAACCUAUAAAUAGUUUUAGUUUAUGUGUGUUGUCAUUUCUUUUUUCAACUUUUGUAGAUAGAUUUUAUCAGAGGUUUUUUAUUAGUCUUAAGUUGAAAACUUAUGUAUCAAUUUUGUUUUAUUAUUGUUAAUAUAAUUUGGUUUUAGGUUUU